ACAUGCAAGUCGAACGGAAGUCGUUAUGAUGAUUUCAACACUGACAGAGAACUUGUUCAAAGAAAGUAGAGAUUGACUUAUAACAAUGGCUUUAGUGGCGGACUGGUGAGUAACACGUGAGCAACCUGCCUAUCAGAGGGGAAUGACAGUGAGAAAUCAUUGCUAAUACCGCAUAUGCCAUAAAUAUCACAUGAUAAAAGUGGGAAAGGAGUAAUCCGCUGAUAGAUGGGCUCGCGUCUGAUUAGAUAGUUGGUGGGGUAACGGCCUACCAAGUCGACGAUCAGUAGCCGGACUGAGAGGUUGAACGGCCACAUUGGGACUGAGAUACGGCCCAGACUCCUACGGGAGGCAGCAGUCGGGAAUAUUGCGCAAUGGAGGAAACUCUGACGCAGUGACGCCGCGUAUAGGAAGAAGGUUUUCGGAUUGUAAACUAUUGUCGUUAGGGAAGAUACAAGACAGUACCUAAGGAGGAAGCUCCGGCUAACUACGUGCCAGCAGCCGCGGUAAUACGUAGGGAGCAAGCGUUAUCCGGAUUUAUUGGGUGUAAAGGGUGCGUAGACGGGAAAGCAAGUUAGUUGUGAAAUCCCUCGGCUUAACUGAGGAACUGCAACUAAAACUACUUUUCUUGAGUGUUGGAGAGGAAAGUGGAAUUCCUAGUGUAGCGGUGAAAUGCGUAGAUAUUAGGAGGAACACCGGUGGCGAAGGCGACUUUCUGGACAAUAACUGACGUUGAGGCACGAAAGUGUGGGGAGCAAACAGGAUUAGAUACCCUGGUAGUCCACACCGUAAACGAUGGAUACUAGGUGUAGGGAACAUUAAGUUUUCUGUGCCGUCGCAAACGCAAUAAGUAUCCCACCUGGGGAGUACGG
rnacentral:rRNA from 1 species